GCACGCCGCGUGAGGGAAGAAGGUUUUCGGAUUGUAAACCUCUGUUCUUGGAGAAGAGAAGGAGACGGUAUCCAAGGAGGAAGCCCCGGCUAACUACGUGCCACCAGCCGCGGUAAUACNUAKGGGGCGAGCGUUGUCCGGAAUGAUUGGGCGUAAAGGGCGCGUANGCGGCCGAGCAAGUCAKUAGUGGAAGUCCAAUUUUCAAGGUUGGAAGUGCUAUUGAAACUGCAGGGCUUGAGUGCAGGAGAGGUUAUCGGAAUUCCCGGUGUAGCGGUGAAAUGCGUAGAGAUCGGGAGGAACACCAGUGGCGAAGGCGGGUAACUGGACUGCAACUGACGCUGAGGCGCGAAAGUGUGGGGAGCAAACAGGAUUA
rnacentral:rRNA from 1 species